AGAGAACACUUGUGCAUCUAACAACUCAUGGGUUUGAUCGGCUUGUUUAUAUUCUUUUGAGACUUACCUUCCAGACGACAAUCUACAUGAUUUGGAGUGAGAGAAAUGACAGGAAACAUCUCAAGAAGCCUAGACAAGUAACUUAGCUAGCAAAGCUGAUUGGGGAAACAGUGAGGAAUCGUAUCUAUUCGGUAAAAUACUCGGAGAAGAUACGCCUGCGGGGAUUGAUGCAACUCUGGUUUAGCACACAUACUCAAUUAGGCUUUAGUUAUUUUUGCUUCACAUGUACAUAACUAUUCUUUCCAUUGAUGAUUAAGAAAUUUAAUAUUUCAUUAAAAAAAAUACGAUACAAAACCAAUAAAUAUACCAGCAAUUAUAGGUUUAGAGCUUCAUGAUUUCAAAUGAUCCAAUAUUGUGUGUGAUUUUUAUCACAGAUUUUAUAGCCCAAGCACAUAUCUGUGUGAUUUUCACCUGAUACAACCAUGAAAUAAUAUAUAUUUUAUACUGUAACUUUAUAAAAAGAAGCUACGUUAUGAUUAGUAUAAAAUGUAUAAGAUCACUGAAGAUGUAUGAUCAGAGCAGAGCCGAAAUAGCUCAUUAAGUGUGAGAUGAACUACAACAUAGAGAAAUAAUGUGAUAAGUAGGACGUGGAAGGAGUAUAACGGAAAAAGAAAUAGAUUUUUUGUCAAGUCAAUUUUAUUUAAAAUUUAGGAAAUAAUUUAGGGAAAACUUUUUUCAUUAAUAAUUCUUCAGUAUAUGAGGAAAAAUGAAGAAUGGCUUGAAAUUCAUUAUCAGAAACUUGGAAAUGGUUCAUUUGUUAAAGAGUAUACCAUCUGAGGAAUGAAGAAUUCAUUUUAAUAUCUUUCUUAAAAGAGAGGUCACCUAGUGAGAUUUAGUAGUCACUAGUUUGAAUAAAGGAUUGAAUAAUUUUACCAACGUAUAUAAGCUUUCUAGAUUGGUCAACUUAAAAAUUAAAUUACACCCUAGCCCGCCAUUACUAGCCUUCCAUAAAGGUUUUGGUAGUGACGGAAAAGGUAAGAAAUCUACAGAUUUCGGAUUCACAUUAUCUGAAAUCAAAGCCACAUAAACGAAGAUUUAACAUCUGUCUUCGUUUUGUUUUUCUUAUUGGAUUUACCUUUUUAUUUUGGGUUUGGGUGUGUGUGUCGAGAGUAUGGGUGACGAAAUCAUGAACAACAUCUCUGAAACAAUGAUCGAAGCUCAAACCCAGAUUAGGCAAUCGUUGUAUUGCCACCAGGUUCAAACAUUUUUUUUAACUUUAUGAUAUUAGGUUUGUUUGUGCUUCGAUCAACCUAUCUUCAAUAGGCACUUAUAUUCUGAAUUGCUGUUAUCUUUAUUGAUCCGAAAUAAGGUGACUUCUUGGUUUUCUAUUUAGUCAUUUUUUGAAUCAGUGAUCUUUGUGUGUUUAGUGUCAUAAAAAGAGAUCGGAUAUUGUCGGAAAUUGCGUGACAAAGAGGCCAAACACGACAUGUAUGGUGAAGUAUUGUCGUAGUUGCCUAUGGAACAGGUUUGAUUUGAUGUUCUUGAGAUUUGUAUAAUCUCUAGUGAUUGUUUUAUAUAUGACUACGGCUCUAAUUUAAAGGUACAAAGAGAUCCCAGAGGAUGUUGCAUCGAAAAAAGACUGGCUUUGUUACAGAUGCAGGGGAAUUUGCGAUUGUAGUAACUGCCUGUAAGUCUAAAUCAUUCAUUACAUUUUGAUUUUUUUUUUUUGUCAAAAAGGACUGUGUACAUGUUUUAGGGCUCACUUUGUAAAUUUUAAGAGAAAUUAAAUUUUCUUUUUCUUUUUCAGAAAGGAACAAGGUAAGAAGCUGACUGGGUUUCUUAGAGAAAAUGGUUCCAGCUCCGAUGCCAUUAAAACCCCCAAAAAUGCCAAACGCCAGCUGAAGUUGAAUGAUUCAAGUGAAGGCUACAACGAGGAGAAUAUUCCUGCAGCCGGAAAAAGAACAAAACCCAUUCUCAAGAAGAAAGAGAAGUCUCAGCUUGAGGAGGUUAAGCUACCUCAGGGCAUCGAGUCAAUCACUGUCUUCGGCAUUGACUUGCCCUCUGAAAAUGCUGGAAGAGUUCUUCAGUUUUUGGAGUUCUGUUCGAAAUUUGGAAAGGUGUCUUCUUUGUACUUUGGUUUUUCUUUAACAUUGGAAGUGUUUGUUAUUUCCUCUUCUGUAAUGCAUAUGACCUUUUGAAUAGGCUCUUGGCUUGAGAGGAGGGGAACCUCAACUUGUUGUGAGUGAGAUUGUAUCAGGGAGAAACACAAGGAGCCAUGAGCAUUCUACCCUCACCCAAAUGAUAAUCCAGUUAUUGACUCUUAUAUUGGUAGACACAGGAGACAAGUACGUAUUGUUUUCUUGGAAAGUACGAUUUUUUCUUUGAUACAUAACUGAUUGAUAUCAUUUUUAUGAUAAUUUAGAUCAGUUGCCCUGAGUGCAUCAGAUGAUAGGUGGUUCAAUGUUCUUGGAAACUGUUUUUCCCAAUCCGAAGUUAAGCUUGAUGACUUCCCUCCUGAGAUGUUUCAAAAAGGCAUUGCUGAGUAUGAGGAGAUGGGUUCAUCGCAAAGGCUGAAACUUUUGAAUUUCUUGUGCGAUGAAACGCUUAGCACAACGUAAGUUAUAUUGUAAUAUAUGUAUCUGUAUGUAUAUAUAUAUAUAUAUAUAUAUAUAUAUAUAUUGAAUCAGUUUUUCUUUUUUUUUAUGUGCUUGAUAGUUAACAUGUUGUAAACAAUCUUUCAGGGUGCUGAGGGAUUGCUUUGCUAAUCCUGAAUUUGUUGAAAAGAAAAAGGAAGCAAAAGAAAAGUUGAAUGCAGCAAAAGCUAACGAGCAAAAACUAUAUCAGAAGUUAGAAGAUGAGUUCUCCAAAGCUCAAGCAGAGAAUAAUGGGGUUGAGUUGACAAUUAAACAACGGCUUGCAAUUGUAUCACAAAUGGAAGCUGAAUCUGAACUAGUCUUUGCCGGGAUGCAAAACGCGUUAAAUAUGCAAAGUAUAAUUCUGAAUUCAUGUGAUUGAUUGUUUAUAACAAUGGUUUAGGGGCUUAAUUUUUAUAAUUGCUUUCGCAGAAGUUCAAGAAUAUGAUGAUGUUCUUAGAACCAGCCCGGUUGAAUUGAAUGACAAUGGUCUUACUCUCUGGAAAUUGAAGUCGUACAGCAAAGAACCAAACAUUUUACUUCAAGGUGUGAAAAAUAUAAACAGUUUGCUUGUCUUAACAAGUAUUAUGUAGUAAUUUUUGUUCUCUUACCAUUGUUUCUGUGCAGACUUAGGAAGCUGGAGUGACGUAUGUCCUCAUGAAAGGUGGUUUGCGUUUAGCCCUGAGCAAAAACCACAAGUAGAGAAGUAUAUUGCUUGCAAAAAGAAAGAAAGGCUUCUCAAAAAUUGGAAGGGAAAUACUGCUCUUGAGUCUUAGUGAUAAUUUGUCUUGUUCUGCAAGCACAUAAUAUAAAAAUGAUAAUGAUAAGCAGAAGUAAAAAGGCUGACUCAUUUGGAUAUGAUUUGUUGUUUUAUUUACAUUUCUGAACACCCAAAAAACUCGGUUUCGUAAUUUCUUUUUAUCUUUAAAAAAAACAUUCAGACUUUUUUCAUAUGAGACUAUUGGACGUGAGACAAUUGGUCGUUGAGAAUUGUUGUAAGAUUUAUAUUCGGUAACAUUUCUGAAUGUCCGAAAGUGAAUAGAUAUGAUAGCUAUCUGGUCGGAAACUUGGAUCGAAGGAGAGGUAGGAUAUCCCUUAAUAAAGAAUAUCUUGGUCGAUUUGGAACUCAGGGUCAAUCAGCUUAUCAAUCCCAUUACAAAAACUUGGGAUCCAGAGAUUUUGGAAGAUCUUUUCUACCAAUAAGAUAUAGAUAGAAUCAUAAAUGAGUCCCAUGUAAGAAAAAAAAGACUAUUGGAUAUGGUCUCACAAUCAAAAUGGUUGCUAUUCAGUCAAGUCAGGUUACUGUUUGAUGAAUCGGUUGACUAGAAUAGAAUAAAUUUGUGUAGUGGAUAUGGAGCCCUCUCUCAACAGUCUUAAAGCUACAUUAUAGAUAUUUGAGACCUCUCCAAAGAUAAAGGUCUUUAUGUGGAAAACUUUAUGUAAUGCUAUCGUGGCAGGUGAUCUGCUGAUUGAAAGAGGUAUUAAGUUGGGUCCCGUUUGCCAAGCGUGAGGAUUUCAAGGCGAAUCAGUGAAUCAUAUUAUUUUUACAUGCUCCAUUGCGAUACAAGUGUGGGCUUUGGCUAACAUAACUUUGUCGUAUCAGGGAUUCACUGAGAACACAAAUUUCUCUAAUUUUUACCAUUUAGUGGAGUUGAACAAGAAGAGAAAUAUAUCUUCUUAGGUUUCUCGAUCCUUCCCUUGGAUUAUCUGGUUUGUAUGAAAAAAAACAAGAAUGGUAUUAUGUUUGAUGGCUUUUGGAGAAUGGUAAAUGAGAUCGUUGAUAUACUCAAAUUAUUCUAGAGUAACUCUCUCAAAUAAGAAAUUGAUUGUAAUACUUAGAGAUCGAAUCCACUUGAAGCGUGGAUCACACAAUAGACUAACAAUUAUUGGUAAAAUUAAAACGGAAAUAGAAAGCAGUAAAUCAAACAGAACGAUAAGAUCAGUUUGUAGACAGAUGGGAAAAACGCUAGAUCCAUGGAUCUCAAACAGGCAAUCAAAACUCAAAUCAAUAGUUGCUAAGGGUUUAUUAAGUUCAAUCCUAGAAUUUGAGUUCAAAUAUCAGUUGUCCAACUCUUGCUGCGACAAACUGUCUAAAUCUAGAUCCUUGAAGGCCAACUCUCGUUGCGCGACAAAUUUCUCUAGUCAUGCAUUAAGAUUAACUCGAUAUGUUCACUAAGUUAAUUAGGCUAAUUUUCGUUGUGUCUAGCAACCUAGCUCACACUCUCGUUGUAUUCCAAUUAUCCUAAGAUCAAGUUCCUAGUUAAGAACAAGUUGUAAAAACAAUAUUGAUGAAGGAGACAAUGGAUUGACCUAGCUGAUCUAUCAAUCAAAAACUCAUCGAAAACCUUAGAAAAUCUCUAGAUCUAACAAUUGAAUUACUCAGACAUGAUAUAGGAAUCAUAAAUCAUAAUCUGAAAUAAUUGCAUAAAGAUUAAAGGUAAGAAAUACUGGAGUUCCAAUCAAUCUUUGAAGGAGUUCUGAUCUUUUCUCCAAAAUUUCACUAAAAUUAACAAAGGUUAGCCCACACAAUAGUCGUAAAAUAUAGAUAAAUAGGUUUAACACGUCUAAGGGCUUCUUUGCAAAUAAGAAAUUGUUUGGGCAAAAGUGCAAUUCUUGAAAGUUUGGUCGGCUCGUCAAUCAGCAACAGCGUCGAUCGAUGCCACGGAAGCGUUGGUCGAUGCUCAUAUCGUGUCUCGACUUCACUUUCUGCACAGCUACAGAUUUUCUUCCUUUUAAGUUUUAUUUUGUUCUAAAAUCACCAAAGUAAUCCAAAACACACAUAGACCUGUAAAUGACAUUAAACAGACUCGAAAUACAAAAUAAAGACUCUACAUAUGGCCUAUAAAAUGGCCUAAAAGUGGUAAAUCUUGGGACCUAUCAAUCUUGAUGAAGGCAGAGAGAAAGCGGAUUUCUGGGUUCUUGCACAAGAACAUGACAGAGUUAUGAAAGAGGAGGACAAACGUGAAAGAAAAAAAAAACUAUAAAAAAAUGGUGUCUUCCACCUAUUGGAUGGUUCUAGUGUGUAAUACUAUAGCCAUGUGGAAUCGGAAUAAAAGAAUAGGAGGUGGUUCUUGGCCUCUUGGUGCUUUUAGACCACAGAGGAGAGGUGAUCAUGCAUAGUAGAACUGUAGAAGGUCGUUUUCAACUCAUCAAAUCUGUAAGAAAUUCGUUUUAUUUGUCUUCUAUAUAUGGGCUAUUGUAUCAAUGGGAAUCCAUAAGAGUAACAAGGUAUUUUUUUAAUUUGAAUACUCUUAUCCUUUUUGGAAUGAUAACGAACUCGAUAAUAUGGCCUUCUUUUAAGUUUCGGAUCUCAGAACUUAUGACUAGGCUAGACAAGAUUUAUCGGUGGAGGGUGGAGUUGGAAGAGAGGAUAACAAAUAGAUGGGCUUUUUCAUCGUUUAAAAUGUCACGGUAGAGAACAUGAUUUACACAUAUGUGGCAAAAGGAGUUCCUUAUUGGCUAUGUUCUCUCUCUUUGACAGUGAGAAAAGUGCUUCCUCUGUUUAAUGUCUCGCUCUCUGUCCUUGUUUAGAACUUUAGUUUUGGUUAUUGAGUGGUCCGUAUUUGACCUUGUAACCUUAUUUUUUCAAGUUAAUAUAAUUCCAUAGAUGACAAAAAAAAAGGAAUAAAGCAGAUGAGUAAAACUACACUGGACGACUUGUUCACAAAACCAGCAACUAAAACCUGAAUGCAAAACCGAACU